ensembl:snRNA U6 U6 spliceosomal RNA
GUGCUGGCUUUGGCAGCACAUAUACUAAAAUUGGAACAAUAUGGGGAAGAUUAGCAUGGCCCCUGCACAAGGAUGAGACGCAAAUUCAUGAAGCAUUCCAUAUUUAA